rnacentral:rRNA from 1 species
UACGUAGGGCGCAAGCGUUAUCCGGAAUUAUUGGGCGUAAAGAGCUCGUAGGCGGUUUGUCGCGUCUGCCGUGAAAGUCCGGGGCUCAACUCCGGAUCUGCGGUGGGUACGGGCAGACUAGAGUGAUGUAGGGGAGACUGGAAUUCCUGGUGUAGCGGUGAAAUGCGCAGAUAUCAGGAGGAACACCGGUGGCGAAGGCGGGUCUCUGGGCAGUAACUGACGCUGAGGAGCGAAAGCAUGGGGAGCGAACAGG